GUAAAAAAAUAAAUUAAAAAAAGUUAGGUUAAAACCACCCUCUAGCGGUUGAAGCAUAAAAUUAAAAUUUUCUUUACAUCUCUGUGGUAAUAACGUGAGUUGUCCCUAUUUUUCGCGGGAGAAUCUAACGGCUUGGGUCGCGUGCUGUGCACAUGGUGUGAAUCUCACUGAUUAUAUUAAAUUUCCCCCAAUAACGAAAGGCAGACUGGUAUCCAAAAAACUGUUUUAUGAACCGGAAAAAAGGUUUCUCAGUUACCUGCAGCUAUCAGCAUGGAGCAGAGAGGUGGGGAGCCCUGACUGGCAGCGAAGUGAAGAGGACUGUUGCCCCCAUCCAGGACCUCCAAAGGCCCCUGCUCCUCCUUGAGGUCCUCCCCGCCAGUGAUCAUAGGGUUGAGGAAGAGCCUUCAUCCUCUUCCUCUGAACCUCUUCUUUGUCUGUGGGGAAACAGGAGCCAACAUGUCAUCAAACGUGAGAAAUGCAUCUGACGGAUCAAAAUUACUGUUUGGGGACUUACUACUGUCGUAGAUAGGGUUGGAGACAACUGGCUUCAAGGCUCUUGUGAAACUCCCAUUGCUGUCCUGCAAGUAAGCAGUGAACUUUAAUCUCACAAUGUUUAGGUCCAUGUUUUUGCCCAGUUCUCUGGC